UACAGAGGGGGCAAGCGUUAUUCGAAAUUAUUGGGCGUAAAGGGCGCGUAGGCGGCUUUGCAAGUGACGGGUGAAAUCCCACGGCUUAACCGUGGAACUGCCUGUCAGACUGCAUGGCUUGAGACCAGGAGAGGUGAGUGGAAUUCCCAGUGUAGCGGUGAAAUGCGUAGAUAUUGGGAGGAACACCAGUGGCGAAGGCGGCUCACUGGACUGGUACUGACGCUGAGGCGGCGAAAAGCGUGGGGGAGCAAACAGG
rnacentral:rRNA from 1 species